UACAGAGGGGGCAAGCGUUGUACGGAAUUACUGGGCGUAAAGGGCGCGUAGGCGGCCUGCUAAGUCGAACGUGAAAUCCCUGGGCUCAACCCAGGAACUGCGUCCGAUACUGGUUGGCUUGAAUCCGGGAGAGGGACGUGGAAUUCCAGGUGUAGCGGUGAAAUGCGUAGAUAUCUGGAGGAACACCGGUGGCGAAGGCGACGUCCUGGACCGGCAUUGACGCUGAGGCGCGAAAGCCAGGGGAGCAAACAGG
rnacentral:rRNA from 1 species